rnacentral:rRNA from 1 species
GCAACCCCUUGUUGAGAUUAGAGAUAGUCUCGAUAUUCACUGGACAAACUGGCUGCUUUAUGCAGUCUUGUUGAAUGGUGGAUAAACUCGGGGGACUGCUGACUAUAACCAUUUCUCAAAACAGAGGAAGGUUGCGGCAAUAACAGGUCUGUGAUGCCCUCAGAUGUCCCGGGCUGCACACGUGCUACAAUGAGUGGCGCAAUGUGCUAAUGUUUAAGGGAUAAGAGUGUGGUCAGUAGAACGUCGGGAUUUCCCCUGACGUCUCCCCCGCACGAUUAUCAGCCUUCCCUUAACAGGGCGGGCAACCUUUUCAAAAUACUGGUUUGAUGUUAAAGUAUUGAGUCGUUUUUUUUGGAUGGUGGUUUGUUAACCAAUACCAUCCGGCAACUGCUCGCGAGUUUGUGGUUCUGGCGACUCAUGGUGGGGACCGACGUUUGUAAUUUUUUGUCGCGUGUUAACUAGGAAUGCCUUGUACUGUCGAUUCACUAAGUUACUGGGAAUACGUCCCUGCCCUUUGUACACACCGCCCGUCGCUCUUACCGAUGGCUGUGUGUGUGAGUAAGAGCGACUGUUAAGAGGGAAA